rnacentral:rRNA from 1 species
AGUGAACGCUGGCGGUAGGCCUAACACACGCAAGUCGAACGGCAGCACAGUAAGAGCUUGCUCUUACGGGUGGCGAGUGGCGGACGGGUGAGGAAUACAUCGGAAUCUACUUUUUCGUGGGGGAUAACGUAGGGAAACUUACGCUAAUACCGCAUACGACCUACGGGUGAAAGCAGGGGAUCUUCGGACCUUGCGCGAUUGAAUGAGCCGAUGUCGGAUUAGCUAGUUGGCGGGGUAAAGGCCCACCAAGGCGACGAUCCGUAGCUGGUCUGAGAGGAUGAUCAGCCACACUGGAACUGAGACACGGUCCAGACUCCUACGGGAGGCAGCAGUGGGGAAUAUUGGACAAUGGGCGCAAGCCUGAUCCAGCCAUACCGCGUGGGUGAAGAAGGCCUUCGGGUUGUAAAGCCCUUUUGUUGGGAAAGAAAAGCAGCAGGUUAAUACCCCGCUGUUCUGACGGUACCCAAAGAAUAAGCACCGGAUAACUUCGUG